AAAUUGAAGAGUUUGAUCAUGGCUCAGAUUGAACGCUGGCGGCAGGCCUAACACAUGCAAGUCGAACGGUAACAGGAAUCAGCUUGCUGUUUCGCUGACGAGUGGCGGACGGGUGAGUAAUGUCUGGGAAACUGCCUGAUGGAGGGGGAUAACUACUGGAAACGGUAGCUAAUACCGCAUAACGUCGCAAGACCAAAGAGGGGGACCUUCGGGCCUCUUGCCAUCGGAUGUGCCCAGAUGGGAUUAGCUUGUUGGUGGGGUAACGGCUCACC
rnacentral:rRNA from 1 species